GCCAAGACAACAAGGGUAAAAUGCACAACAGGCAACCAUAAAUGUUUAGAGAGAGCCUGGCAAGAGUCAACUGCACCAUAGCCAGUUAAGGCCUCACAAAAAUAACACCACAAAACAAAAAAAUACGGCCAAAUUAAGAAGAUUUUAGGAAAUUUCACGCAACCAAAAGUCAUUGAAGAAUACCGUUCAAAGAACUGUACAAUUGUGGAUUUUUUUUUUUGGUUUUGAAACAAGCCAAGUGAAAGUUUUAAUUACCGGAAUCAAACAACAGUACAUCAUGGACGAUAGAUAGAGAAGAACCCCAAAUAUCCUCAUUGGACAAAGAACCAGCUGCCCUAGCCAACACCUGAGGAUCAUUCACUGAUUUUUUCACAAAACAGCAGCUAAUAGAAGCAGAAGAGCCUAUUAGGGCUUUACAAUCAUUAACUAUUUCACCAAAAUAAGAAAGAUCCACUGCUGAACUUUGCAAAGCUCGAACUAAAAUAAGUGAAUCUGAUUCGAUAAUGACAUCUUGGUAGAAAGAUUUGAAAUCAAAUCUCCAACUUAAGUUAUAUCAUUUCAAGAAUCUGGCAGCUAUAUAUUCUGCAAUCGCCAGGCUUGAUGUUAGACCGGGUGACUCAAUUCCAAAAAGGUUGACAAGACCAGGCAAUUGAUGACUAUCUUCUCCCUGCAUAAAAAAGGUUGCAAGAAUUGUACAACUCUCAACAAAGAAUGGAAAUCAGUGAGAUAGUCACUGUAAUCCACCAUCCGUUCUAUUUUCUAUCAACAGUAAAAAUUGUGUUGCUAUAAAAUAGAACAAUGCAUCUAACAGAUUUACAAGAUGAAUAUUUGGUUGUAAUUCUUAUGAAAUAUCAAUGACAAUGAGAAAGGAAGAGAAAUGUUAAAUAAUGUGACCUGAUUAACCAUAAUUUAUUUCCUCCUAAUUAAUUCCAUGCAAAAGUAUACAAAUUUGGCAUUUGUCUAAUUCUUUGCUCCCUGCCUAUUUCUCUAUUUCUUUCUUCUGUCAAUGUCAUUUGCUCAGAUUCCUCACUUUCCUACACAAGCAAGCACCUAAUCCUAUCUGACUUUUGCUUAUCAGUUUAUCAGUUUUUUAUCAUAAUCCACGUGUACUGUUUUUCUGUUUUAACUUGACACAGAUUUCAAUAGGUGCAUAGAGGUGGCAAUUUGGAUUCAAAAUUCACAGGUAAAGAAGAGUGCUUACUUGAAUUACAAAGUCAAUAUGAGAUUGUCCAGGACCAGUAAUUUUUGGUCGAAUCCCUGCAUAACCAGGCACCAACGAUCCAUCCCUCAGAUUUGGAUAGUACUUUCUUAUCUCUGGGUAAAAUCUCUCUGCACGACUAGCACUAACAGAAUAGUCAUACCUGAAAGCAACAACACAAAUAGCAUUUAUAAACAAGACAACAAUAAAAUAAGUUUUUUUUUUUGGCAGAUACACAACUAAAAAUUUAUAUUAUAAAAUUAAUAAAUCUCUAUUAAAAAGUAAUAAUUUAUAUUACACAACUAAAAAUUUAUGAUUUGGGUAUUACUUGAGAUCUCUUGUUUGUGAUUAACUAGAAGAGUGUUGUAGUGGCUUUUCUUGUAUAGUGAAUUUGAUUCAAAGUCUGGCACGUGGUUUUUCCCUCUACACUGGAAGGUUUUCCAUGAAAAUCUUGUGUUCUUUAUGGUGGUUUAUUUUUCCUAAAUAUUUUUGUGCUUACUUGGGUUGAUCAAUUUACACAACUGUGAGUUUGACCCAACAGUAAUGCCAUUCCAAUCAGCUAGCCCUCACACACCUCUACUAUGCAGUGUGUCCCAUUUUCCAAAUUUGUAAAAUGAUCCAAUUGGCCAAGUUCAAUGUCAAUUUAGCCACAAAAGUUAUUUUUGUGUCUAAUUGAGCCUUAGUGUUAAAUGCAAUAGCCAAAUUUGUUUCUAUAAAAUGCGUAAAAGAUGUGCAAAAAAUUUACAAUGGCCAAAUGAUUGCAACUAAAUGACCUUAUCCUCAAAACAAAAGUUGUAUGAAAAAAAUUAUCUUUAAACUUAUCCAACAAAGAUUCUAUAUUCUCAAAGCUCUCUCCAACUCCAAAUUAGAACUACUUUAUUGUCUUUAAGUCAUGUCUAGCUAUGAAUUCACCAUUAAGUUCUAAGUCAACUAACUUGUAUGUCCUUGAAUCAUGUAAAAAAAAGUAAUUGUAGUUUCAUCCUAACUCAUUAUCAUAUAUCCCUUAAAAUAUAUCCCUUAAAAGAUAACAUGGUGACCACAAAGCCACCUUACACCAAUGAGGUUGCUAGUUCCAUCCAUCCCUCUCUCCUCCUAAUGUACUGGGGAACAAAUUAUCAUCCAUAAGCUCCAAUCUAGAGGAUCAUUCCAUUUUUUGGGCAUGCUACUAUUGCUUCAUUGCCAAAGAUGAUUAAGAGAUCCCCACAAGUGUAAUGAUCCGCAAUUCUAAGGUAAGGACAAAAGAUCCCAUCAUCGAACAGAGAGAGAGAGAGAGAGAG
rnacentral:misc_RNA from 1 species